UACGUAGGUGGCAAGCGUUGUCCGGAUUUACUGGGCGUAAAGAGCGCGCAGGCGGUCGUUCAAGUCGCGUGUGAAAGCCCCCGGCUCAACUGGGGAGGGUCACGCGAUACUGCUCGACUUGAAGGCAGGAGAGGGAAGCGGAAUUCCCGGUGUAGUGGUGAAAUGCGUAGAUAUCGGGAGGAACACCAGUGGCGAAGGCGACUUCCUGGCCUGUUCUUGACGCUGAGGCGCGAAAGCUAGGGGAGCAAACGGG
rnacentral:rRNA from 1 species